CCAAACGCCUUCACCGAGUAGUGGCAAGGGUCUGGACGCCCCGUGUGGUGGGGAGUCGUGCCGAGCAUCGUGCAAACAUUUCCCAUGGGCCGCAGGGGCAAGACCUCUGGAAGCCCAUUAAUUCCCAGCUGCUGUAAGAGCUGAUGCUGCAAAACAAAGAGAUCUGUACUCUGGGAGGAGGUUGGCUCAUGGAUGCGAGAGUCAAUGUCACUUGGUGAAGAGGGUCCUCCCAUCCGCCAACCAGGCACAUGGAUGCAGUGCAGAAUGAGGCCUUGGCUUAAAGAAGUUUCCUGUAUUAUCACUGGAAAAUCAGAGGAAUGACAGAUCUGGGAGGAAAUAAUAUUUGGCACAUUUAUGUAUCCUUCAAAUUCCAAUUAAAAGACCGAUACAAUCAUCAUGAGUAUACACAAAAUUUAGAAGCUACGUAAACACACAGCACAUGCCCAAGCAGAUGGUGCAAAGAACACACAAUUAAAAUAUGAACAAUAAGUUUAAACUAGGUUUUUUCAGGAUAUAAUUAUUGAAGUAAUCCUACACAGGAUUUUUACUUAGGUUUUGUUUGUUUGUUUGUUUUUUACAACUGAUUUAUAUACACACUUCGACACAUAAAAUGGGAGUAAAUAUUCUUAUAUGACACUGCUUUUCAUUACUCACAUUCUCUGUCCGACAAAAUUUGGCUCAAAUAACAGAACCAUCAUAUGCUCAAGUUUUCAAAAAUUAUCACCACUCCUCUCCAUUUUUGACGAGGGAUUGAGUGGAAGGUCUUGCAAUUUGCAAGCUACAUACAAUUAGGGGAGAAACAGGUGUUGCCAAACAUUAGUGCUGCAAAAUACAUCUUCAACAGUAUCACCUGCAGCCCCGUGAGUGAUGUUAUUUUCCAGUAAGCAAACAUUUUUCAAUUAGUCCCACAUUGGCUCUCACCUCUGUCAGAGUUUGUAAUGAAGAUGAGCGGUUUGCUUUGGGCCCAGUGCAUUCUGUUAGAAAUGAAAUGUGCAACCUCCCCUGUGCCUGGGCAACCUCCCCUGUGCCUGGACAACCUCCUCUGUGCCUGAACAACCUCCCCUGUGCCUGGACAAACUCCCCUGUGCCUGGACAACCUCCUCUGUGCCUGGACAACCUCCCCUGUGCCUGGACAACCUCCACUGUGCCUGGAAAACCUUCCCUGUGCCUGGACAACCUCCACUGUGCCUGGAAAACCUCCCCUGUGCCUGGAAAACCUCCCCUGUGCCUGGAAAACCUCCCCUGUGCCUGGACAACCUCCCCUGUGCCUGGACAACCUCCCCUGUGCCUGGAAAACCUCCCCUGUGCCUGGAAAACCUCCCCUGUGCCUGGGCAACCUCCCCUGUGUCUGGACAACCUCCCCUGUGCCUGGGCAACCUCCCCUGUGCCUGGGCAACCUCCCCUGUGCCUGGACAACCUCCCCUGUGCCUGGGCAACCUCCCCUGUGCCUGGGCAACCUCCCCUGUUCCUGGGGAAACACUUAGACAUCUCCAUGUUUCGAAUGGUCUUUCCUGUGUGGCCAUGGACAGAGCCAUCUUUCUUCUGCUUUGGCAGCUCUGGGGUAAUACACGGAGCUGGUUCUGAAUUACAGAAUGCCGGUGGAGACCCCUCAAAGUGUUCUCAAAUAUAAUUCAUUUUCUUUGGAGAUAGGGAUUAUCAGUUCUUCUAAAGCAUGAUUUAAUUAUGCUCUUACAUAAAAUGUCAUCAUCCUAGUACACUUGACAUUUUUAAUACACAUUCUAUUCCUGUCAUCUAUAUCAAUGACAAAUGACAGAAUAAAGGCCUAGUUAAAAAUUAUAUCA